rnacentral:rRNA from 1 species
GAACGCUGGCGGCGUGCCUAACACAUGCAAGUCGAACGAAGCACUUUGAUCGAUUCUUCGGAUGAGUGAAAAGUGACUGGAGUGGCGGACGGGUGAGUAACGCGUGGGUAACCUGCCUCAUACAGGGGGAUAACAGUUAGAAAUGACUGCUAAUACCGCAUAAGCGCACAGAGCUGCAUGGCUCAGUGUGAAAAACUCCGGUGGUAUGAGAUGGACCCGCGUCUGAUUAGCUAGUUGGUAAGGUAACGGCUUACCAAGGCGACGAUCAGUAGCCGACCUGAGAGGGUGACCGGCCACAUUGGGACUGAGACACGGCCCAAACUCCUACGGGAGGCAGCAGUGGGGAAUAUUGCACAAUGGGGGAAACCCUGAUGCAGCAACGCCGCGUGAUUGAAGAAGUAUUUCGGUAUGUAAAGAUCUAUCAGCAAGGAAGAAAAUGACGGUACUUGACUAAGAAGCCCCGGCUAACUACGUG